UACGUAGGGCGCGAGCGUUGUCCGGAAUUAUUGGGCGUAAAGAGCUCGUAGGCGGCCUGUCGCGUCGGUUGUGAAAGCCCGGGGCUCAACCCCGGGUCUGCAGUCGAUACGGGCAGGCUAGAGUUCGGUAGGGGAGAUCGGAAUUCCUGGUGUAGCGGUGAAAUGCGCAGAUAUCAGGAGGAACACCGGUGGCGAAGGCGGGUCUCUGGGCCGUUACUGACGCUGAGGAGCGAAAGCGUGGGGAGCGAACAGG
rnacentral:rRNA from 1 species